rnacentral:rRNA from 1 species
CCUACGGGCGGCAGCAGUGAGGAAUAUUGGUCAAUGGACGAGAGUCUGUACCAGCCAAGUCGCGUGAAGGAUGACUGCCCUAUGGGUUGUAAACUUCUUUUAUAUGGGAAUAAAAUGUUCCACGUGUGGGAUUUUGUAUGUACCAUAUGAAUAAGGAUCGGCUAACUCCGUGCCAGCAGCCGCGGUAAUACGGAGGAUCCGAGCGUUAUCCGGAUUUAUUGGGUUUAAAGGGAGCGUAGGUGGAUUGUUAAGUCAGUUGUGAAAGUUUGCGGCUCAACCGUAAAAUUGCAGUUGAAACUGGCAGUCUUGAGUACAGUAGAGGUGGGCGGAAUUCGUGGUGUAGCGGUGAAAUGCUUAGAUAUCACGAAGAACUCCGAUUGCGAAGGCAGCUCACUGGACUGCAACUGACACUGAGGCUCGAAAGUGUGGGUAUCAAACAGGAUUAGAUACCCGAGUAGUC